GAUGAACGCUGGCGGCGUGCCUAAUACAUGCAAGUCGAGCGAACGGACGAGAAGCUUGCUUCUCUGAUGUUAGCGGCGGACGGGUGAGUAACAUGUGGAUAACCUACCUAUAAGACUGGGAUAACUUAGGGAAACCGUAGCUAAUACCGGAUAAUAUUUUGAACCGCAUGGUUCAAAAGUGAAAGACGGUCUUGCUGUCACUUAUAGAUGGAUCCGCGCUGCAUUAGCUAGUUGGUAAGGUAACGGCUUACCAAGGCAACGGUGCAUAGCCGACCUGAGAGGGUGAUGGGCGACACAGGAAGUGAGACACGGUCCAGACUCCUACGGGAGGCAGCAGUAGGGAAUCGUCCGCAAAGGGCGAAAGCCUGACGGAGCAGCGCCGCGUGAGUGAUGAAGGUCUUCGGAUCGUAAAACGCUGUUAUUAGGGAAGAACAUAUGUGUAAGUAACUGUGCACAUCGUGACGGUACCUAAUCAAAAAGCAACGGCUAACUACGUG
rnacentral:rRNA from 1 species